CCGCCCGUCACACCAUGGGAGUUGAUUGCACCAGAAGCAGGUAGCCUGACCGCAAGAGGGCGCUUACCACGGUGUGGUCAAUGACUGGGGUG
rnacentral:rRNA from 1 species